GAACGGGUGAGUAACACGUGAGUAACCUGCCCUUGACUUUGGGAUAACUUCAGGAAACUGGGGCUAAUACCGGAUAGGAGCUCCUGCUGCAUGGUGGGGGUUGGAAAGUUUCGGCGGUUGGGGAUGGACUCGCGGCUUAUCAGCUUGUUGGUGGGGUAGUGGCUUACCAAGGCUUUGACGGGUAGCCGGCCUGAGAGGGUGACCGGCCACAUUGGGACUGAGAUACGGCCCAG
rnacentral:rRNA from 1 species